UACGAAGGGGGCUAGCGUUGCUCGGAAUCACUGGGCGUAAAGCGCACGUAGGCGGAUUGCUAAGUCAGGGGUGAAAUCCUGGAGCUCAACUCCAGAACUGCCUUUGAUACUGGCGAUCUCGAGUCCGGGAGAGGUGAGUGGAACUGCGAGUGUAGAGGUGAAAUGCGUAGAUAUCUGGAGGAACACCGGUGGCGAAGGCGGCGUUCUGGACUGCAACUGACACUGAAGAACGAAAGCCAGGGGAGCAAACGGG
rnacentral:rRNA from 1 species